UUCUAGAGGACUGGGCGGGGAGAUGGUGUCUUCCCGGCCGGGUGGCACUGACCGGUCAUGCUCAGGGCCCCCUUCUGGUUGCCGGUGCCUCACCUCUGGCCAGGUGGCAUCGGCUUCCGGGUAAAUCUGAGCUGCCCAAAGCGAGCCUCCGGAGGCUGCUCCAUCUCCUGGAACGUUUACUCAUUCAGGCCUCUGGACGUCGAUACUGGGGAUGAAAAGUUCAGAAAGUGGACAGAUUCCUGGUCUUCAGUCCAGACCUACUGAGUUAAAAUAUUGAGGAGAGAUGGAGCUCAACAGAUGCCCUAGGUGACUCUGAUGUGGCCUAAGUCUGGGGAAACAGUACACCCUGCAGUACUUCUCCAACCUAACAGAAAUGCGGAUUCUGAUUCGCAAUGUUUCCUGAAAUAUACCUGAGCUUGGAACAGCAUGGAUCUGUACGAGCUGGUGCCCCACUAGUUGAUGACAUGGCUUCAUGAAAACAGAGGAGCACCUCACCACUAGAAGAGACCCUUGCAGUAGGAAACAAAGCUGCAUGAGAAAAGUUUCAGUCUCUGUGGGUGACUCUCCAAGAGUUGGAAUGCACUGGUCACGGUGUUGA
rnacentral:lncRNA from 1 species